AACGAACGCUGGCGGCAGGCCUAACACAUGCAAGUCGAACGCCCGUAGCAAUACGGGAGUGGCAGACGGGUGAGUAACGCGUGGGAACGUGCCCUUCGGUUCGGAAUAACUCAGGGAAACUUGAGCUAAUACCGGAUACGUCCGUAAGGAGAAAGAUUUAUCGCCGAAGGAUCGGCCCGCGUCGGAUUAGCUAGUUGGUGAGGUAACGGCCCACCAAGGCGACGAUCCGUAGCUGGUCUGAGAGGANGAUCAGCCACACUGGGACUGAGACACGGCCCAGACUCCUACGGGAGGCAGCAGUGGGGAAUUUGGACAAUGGGGCAACCCUGAUCCAGCCAUGCCGCGUGCGGGAAGAAGGCCU
rnacentral:rRNA from 1 species